CAAUACAAUGUAAAGUCAUGUGCUGACACUCUGGAAAUUUUCAGAAAAAUAUAGGAGGCAUGGAGCUUAAUAGUCAAGAACUUGAACUCUUGAAUAAUGAGUCCUUAGUUCUUGAACUACGGGUUUCAUCUCUGCCUGCACAAAGAAGACAGAGAUGGCAUGGCUGCAGGAACAAAAACAGAGACAGGAGAAUAAGGAUACACAAAGGAUCAAUACUAGCUUAGGUUAAAAUGCAGGUCUAAAAGGUGUCUAUGAGAGAAACCAGACCACAACAAUCAAAAUGUUGUAUGAAAUUCUCAAGGAAUUAAAAACAUAUUUUCAGUCAGCAACUUAUCACCUGAGAGUGUGUUCUUCAUUACGUUCCUUGUUUCCAAGCCUUGAGGCUCUGUACCCCAACCCAGAAAGAACUAGACUCUCUACAGCACAGGGAAAGAUAGAGUUUCUCUGCCUCUGGCAGCUCUCCUAGCACACAAGGCUGAUUUCUCGUGACAGCCAAGCAACUGCCAAGCCCAGAAUGAAACUGGCUGUUUGGAAAGUUUAGCUCCCUUUCUUCACUCUAUUUUCUCCCCUUGCUGCUGGCAGAAGCCCAGCCCUCCCUCCUUCUCUGGAGUCUCCCCACAACUCAUCUAAUUGGAAGGCUUCGGGAAGCCCCAUGGGGACAUCCUGCCCCUCCCCUGACUUUCUGAGCCUCUGUACAAGAAGUUUUGCAAAAAGAGGAAGCAGGAGCCUUGGGGCCUGCAGAGAAGGGGAGGCCUGUUGUGAAUCCCUUCUGCUUGGUACCAUGACAAAGAAAAAGGAGAGAAUGGAAGAGUACCAAGAUUCCAGGACCCUCGGAACCUUCCUUGGAGCUCCCUAGGACACGUGGACAGUUCUUCCAAAAAGUGGGAGAGUUGUGGCACCUGGAAGUGUCAGCUGCAAUUCCAGUCCCACAUGGCUCCGGGCCACUUAAUGAGAUCCCAGCCUUAUCAAAUGUGUUUUAUCUUCUAGAACUUAGGCCUUGUAACAGUCCCCACGAUGCUUUUCUAUAUUGUUAGAAAUUAGUCCUGGAGCUCUAGGUGAUCAUAAAAGGCAAGGACCAUUUGAGCCUAUCUUAUUGCUAAGCCUGCCCAUCCCUCCUUACCACCACAGUCAUUAUUAUACUUCUAAGACUGCAAAUUUGAUUGGGAUAUGGCUUGGUGGCAGAGUACUUGCCUACCAAGCAUGAAAUCCCAGUUCCAUAGAAAACAACACAUAAAAAAUACAAAUCUUACUUUGUUAAACCUAGCACACACCAUGCACAUACCACGUGUGCACGCGCGCACGCGCGCGCACACACACACACACACACACACUUCACACAUACUUCUCAUUUUCAUCUAAUUCACUCACUGGCAGAGGUUUCCACUCUCUUGGCUUCUCUGGACCACACUGGAUAAACUACUGUCUUAGGCCACACAUUAAAUCAAGCAGUUUACACCACAUGACCUGUGGGGUUGUGAGAACAUAUGCAUAUUAAUUUUAUGUGACAUAGUAAUGUGAGCUAUCCUGAUAUUCCCCUUCUUCCAUGAGGUACCCUGUGCCUUGGAGGGAGUGUUAUCAAUGUCCAAUCAAUGGUCACCAAUCUCUUAGAUGAUUGGGAUCAGUGGGAGGAAAACUGAGAGAACAAAUGAUCAAAAUGCAUCAUAUACAUGUAUGAAACUGUAAUAGUGCAUAAGUAGUCUAUUCUAAUUUAAAACAAAUUAAAAAGUAACUUCAAAAAAGGAUGGGCAAUUAUGUGUUCAUACUAGUCUGGGCUACUUGUCUUUUGUGAACUUGAUUUUCCUUGUUUUAAACUGAGCUGAUCCAGAUGGUCUAGAAGGCAUGUCUCUUUGACAAAAACUAUGUUAAUGUGAAUCACGUCACUUUAAGAUGCAGGGAGUUUCCCCCCUUUCCUUGUCAAAUGCUUGCCUGCUGGCAAGUGACUUCGGGCAAUUGGCUUGAACAUUACACUUCAACUGCAUACCUGUAACAUGGAAGUAAUCCCAAAUCCUGCCUCCUACCUCCUUUUGCCACCAGACCAUAUCCACCCUGAGUCAAUGGCUGUCAUUGGCCCCCUGCCCAGAUUCCACCAGCGGCUGUCCUCAUCCCCCAGCUAGUGUAAAAACUAGCUACUCAUGGCUCACUAUUAUCUUCUUGCACAAUUGACUCCGGGCUGAAUAAGAGUUGGCUAUGCUGCAGGGAUCCUCCUAGACCCCUGAACAGGGUCUGGCUAUCCUACAGGGAUCUUCCCAGACCACUGAACAGGAGAUACUGAUCCUCCAAGUAUCUUCCAAGACCACUGACUACCUCAGCCCAGUCACUAACUAAUUGACAUGGAAAUAUAGAAAGCUAAAUCUAUGUGAUGUGGGAAGCCCUUCUGUAUGAUGCAAACAUGUGUUACUUUUGUUGGUUGAUGAAUAAAGCUGAUUUGGUCAAUAGCCAGGCAGAAUAGAACCUGGUGGAAAAUCCAAACAGAGUUACAGAGAGAAAGAAGGUAGAGUCAGAGAGACACCACAUAACUGCCGAAGGGAUAAGAUGCCUCCACAUGCCACAGCCAUAUGUUGAUACACAGAUUAUUAAAAUAAAUGGGUUAAUUCAUAAGACAGAAAUAGCUAGCAAGAAGCCCGAGCCAUUGGCCACUUAUAUUUAAUAUUAGCCUCUGAGUGAUUGUUUCAUGAACAUCUGUAGAGAAAAAUCAGUCCAGGGGGACCAGUGGAAUAGAGAAAAAGUUCAGCUAUACCUAUGCUGCACCUUGGGUCCUGACUUAAGGAAGAAUCUCCCUCAGAGCUGCUUCCCAGGAAGCCAGUAAAGACACAAGCGAGGCACUUUUGCUCUGCACACAUCAUCUCCUGUGACAGCCAUCAAGCCCUGAUUGGUGCACUCUUAUGCUCAUUGUGUAGAUGAGAUACAACACUAAGAUAAUGAGAAACUUAUGUAAGCCAGAGUCUUACAAUGUCUCUGUCCUGGUAGUUCUGUGUCAACAUGACACAAGCUAAAGUCAUCUGAGAGGAAGAAGCCUCAACUGAGAAAAUGCGUCCAGAAGAAAAUGUAGGACAUUUUCUUAAUUAGUGGUUGAU